rnacentral:rRNA from 1 species
GACGAAGGGGCGUAGCGUUGUUCGGAAUUACUGGGCGUAAAGCGAGUGUAGGUGGUUGUCAUAGUCAGGUGUGAAAGCCCAGAGCUCAACUCUGGAAUUGCCUUCAAAACUCUCAAGCUAGAGUUCGGAAGAGGAGAGUGGAAUUCCCAGUGUAGAGGUGAAAUUCGUAGAUAUUGGGAAGAACACCAGUGGCGAAGGCGACCACCUGGACUGAUACUGACACUGAGGUGCGAAAGCGU